rnacentral:rRNA from 1 species
CUCUGGUCGAGAGAAUCAUGGAGGUCAGGGAUAUCGGCAAAAUAGAUCCGUUACUUCGGGAAACGGAUCGGCUCUCAGGGCUGGGUGUUGGGGUCUUGGAGCUGCCACUAG